rnacentral:lncRNA from 1 species
CUCUACCUUACCAUCGGUACCUAUUUUUCUUUUGUAGAUCUAUUCACAUCCAAUGGGUACUAUACCCUCGGGUGGACCCACUAAGGUCCAUAUUUGGUUUGAGUGCAUCGGGUCAAUCUCUGACUUGAUUACAUCUAACUAUUUCUCAAAAUCGAUAUCAGACAUCGUCUCGUCAAAGGUAUUAGAAUUAUCACUAUGAUCCUUAUCUUCCAUAAGAAAUAUUUUCUUUACUUGCUUCGUAAGCAUACCCAUGUACCUUUUAGGAAGUCGGGAUACCCUGCU